UACAGAGGGUGCAAGCGUUAAUCGGAAUUACUGGGCGUAAAGCGUGCGUAGACGGUUAUGUAAGUCAGAUGUGAAAGCCCCGGGCUUAACCUGGGAAUGGCAUUUGAGACUGCAUAGCUAGGGUGCGGAAGAGGGAAGCGGAAUUUCCGGUGUAGCGGUGAAAUGCGUAGAUAUCGGGAGGAACAUCAGUGGCGAAGGCGGCCCUCUGGUCCAGUACUGACACUCAAGUGCGAAAGCGUGGGGAGCAAACAGG
rnacentral:rRNA from 1 species